GACCUGAGAGGGUGAUCGGCCACACUGGGACUGAGACACGGCCCAGACUCCUACGGGAGGCAGCAGUGGGGAAUUUUGGACAAUGGGCGCAAGCCUGAUCCAGCAAUGCCGCGUGCGGGAAGAAGGCCUUCGGGUUGUAAACCGCUUUUGGCAGGAACGAAAAGCUCUGGGCGAAUACCCUGGGGUGAUGACGGUACCUGCAGAAUAAGCACCGGCUAACUACGUGCCAGCAGCCGCGGUAAUACGUAGGGUGCGAGCGUUAAUCGGAAUUACUGGGCGUAAAGCGUGCGCAGGCGGUUUUGUAAGUCAGAUGUGAAAUCCCCGAGCUCAACUUGGGAACUGCGUUUGAAACUACAAGACUAGAAUAUGUCAGAGGGGGGUAGAAUUCCACGUGUAGCAGUGAAAUGCGUAGAGAUCAGGAGGAACACCGAUGGCGAAGGCAGCCCCCUGGGCCUGUACUGACGCUCAUGCACGAAAGCGUGG
rnacentral:rRNA from 1 species